rnacentral:rRNA from 1 species
UACAGAGGUCCCAAGCGUUGUUCGGAUUCACUGGGCGUAAAGGGUGCGUAGGCGGCCUGUUAAGUCGAACGUGAAAUCCCCGGGCUCAACCCGGGAACUGCGUCCGAUACUGGCAGGCUUGAAUCCGGGAGAGGGAUGCGGAAUUCCAGGUGUAGCGGUGAAAUGCGUAGAUAUCUGGAGGAACACCGGUGGCGAAGGCGGCAUCCUGGACCGGCAUUGACGCUGAGGCGCGAAAGCCAGGGGAGCAAACAGG